GGGGACUGAGCGAGAGGGAAAGAGCCUGGCCAGCUCUGGUUUCUUUCACACCUAUUUACAUGGACACCUUGGCCAAUAGGAAUCACUUCCAGCUCAAGACUGGGCGAGGGGGAAGAGCCUCUGCCACCGGUGGGAGCAGGACGCGCUGGCCAGGGUGCGCGGUGUGAAGGUAAAUCUAUGCCAGAAAAAAACAAAACCAAACCCUGAAUCUGGAGUCAUUGAAUCCAAAUCCAAGAGGCCUGGCUGUCAUGUCUUGAGCAGCUCCGUGGCUUGCAGGAUCUGAGUUCCCCAACCAGGGCUCAAAAAGGUGCUCCCUGCAAUAGAAGUGUGAAGUCCUAACCACCAGGAAAUGCCUGGAUCUGAGCUCUUAACCUCUGCACAUGACUGUCUUUGACAGAAGAGAAAGCGGCAGAGAACUGAUCUAAGGGAGCUGGUCAAUGAUUCUGGGACAAGAGGAUGAAAAGCAGCAUGCUAGCCUGAGGUGAUUUUCCCUCUUCAUUCUGAACUCCAGCACUUCUUCCUGACUUCAGAUAUCCUCUCUGUGAAGACUUUUCUCGCCGUGAAAAGGUGCAGCACUGGACCGCGGGCUCCGUAUCUCCUAUGUUGGCCGUAUCAUAAACGCUCAGGAGACGGUGGUGGUCGGUCAGCUGCUUUGGGAGUGUAUCAUCUACCUGUCCGUUCCUAGCAAGCAUCCAUGCAUCUUGAGUUAAAAUCAUUACUUGUUGUUUACAGCUUCUGGUUCUUGGAAUAAUGAGGAAAGAUGUCAACAUUGUAGCCUACAAACACUCUUGGAUUCAGGCUCAACAUCAUGACAGAUAAUUUUAUAACCAUGGAAAAAAAUGUACAUAUGUGCCAACUGACUUGAGACAUUUAGUGGUUCUUUUAAUUAAAACUCAGGAAUUUUAAAUUUGUUACUGCAUAACCACUGAUGAUGUCAAUGAAGGUUUCAUUGAUCCUAACUUGUAGGAAAUUGCUGUUUAUAAUGUACACAUCACUCUCUUCCUCACCUUUUCCCACCUUCAUUCCACUUUCACACAUCUGCUUGUAUCUUAUUACCAUGGCCUCUUAAAAAGAGAAAAAGAAGAAAGAAACAUUUUGUCCAUUAAUUACUGUGUUACUAUCAGAUGUAUAUUGAAAUUCUGAUGUUCAUGUCUAUGAAAUAAUCAUGGAAUUGCUGUAUGUCACAUGAAUUCAAUUUUGAGUCCACAAAUAUCUGAGCAGUGCCAAGCGUGCCCUGCAGUAUACAAGGAACUGGGGAUACAAAUUCUGUACAUAGUCCUUCUCUUAUAGGAAAAGGGAAAAUAGAUUACCUGUAGCCCAGAGGGCAAACUGUAAUAGAAGGAUGGGCACACUAUGGAGGAAGCACAGAAAAAAUCGUGACAAGAGAAGAAAUGUAAAGGAAGCCUUUAUGGAAGAAGUAGUUGUUUAUUUGGGUUUUGAAGUAUGAAUAGGAGUUUGACAGGUGGUUGAGUAGAAAAAGAAAGUCACUCAAGUCAAAGGGAACCACAUUUGCAAAAGCACAGAGGUAAGAAACUGUAUCUAUGUCUGCCAUUUACUGAUCAUGGACUAUGUGGACAGAUGAAGAAAGGGUACAAAUAAGAAUGGAUUGGAUUCAUGAUUUUAAGAUUUUAGUUUAUUUACACCUACUUCAGUAUUCUUGCCUGGAGAAUCCCAUGGACAGAGAAGCCUGGCAGGCUAUGGUCCAUAGGGUUGCAAAGAGUUGAACAUGACUGAAGCGACUUAGCACUAUACUUGCUAUGUACCAGAUAUUGUUGUUUUACAAAUAAUUUUCUAAUCCUCAUGACACUUUAGACAAACCACUGGACUGCAGAGUUGAAAUAAAGCCUCACCUUGAAAACCUAGAUGAUUGAUCAAGGAAAAAAAAAGAUAAAUGUGGUAUUAUAGAAACAGACUCAAGAACGUUGAAAUCCAUAUGUAAAUCUCCUCCAGCAAUAAGUCCUUGUGCCUCACAAGGAGAUCAGGCUUGAUCCUGAGCUAGAGAAAAGGGAUUGGUAUGUGCAGUUACAGUGUGCCUGGACCUUUUCACACGGAUGUCCUGUAACCCUCAACAUCAUCCCAUGAGGCACACAGUGGCCUCGCCAUCUACACGUGAGGCUUGGAGAGGUCAAACAAGUUAUCCACGUCACACAGCAAGUAGAGUGAGGGGGCUGGAAUUUAUCCAACUCAGAAUCUGUAUCUUCAUCACAUAUCUCCCUAGAAAAGGGCCAGAGAGAGCCAGACACCAGGAACUUGCGUCAAGCUGCCCCGCCCUGGUAUGGCUACAGGUAAAGUAGCUGUGCGUGGUGAUUUCUUGGACAAUCUGCUAAGGAGUGUGGAGAAAACAGGUGGGAGAAAAGGCUUUCUCUUUGGGGUACUUGGCAUUUAAGAUAGGUAUCUGAUGAUGCUCAUUAAAUACUUAUUGAAGCCAUGUGUCCUUCCUUCUUUUCCCAUCAUAACAUGGGCCUGUCACUGGAGACAAUUUAUGACAUACUACCUCUCC
ensembl:lncRNA